ACAAACUUAUUCGCCAGAGAACUACUAGCUACAGCUUAAAACUCAAAGGACUUGGCGGUGCUUUAUAUCCAUCUAGAGGAGCCUGUUCUGUAAUCGAUAAACCACGUUAUACCUCACCACUUCUUGCUAUUGCAGUCUGUAUACCGCCAUCUUCAGCAAACCCUGAAAAGGUUGUCAAGUAAGCCCAAUCAUAUGACAUAAAAAAGUUAGGUCAAGGUGCAGCCAAUGAAGUGGGAUGAAAUGGGCUACAUUUUCUAAUUAAGAACAUACGAAGCCUUAUUUGAAAAAAUAAUGUAAAGGAGGAUUUAGUAGUAAACUAAAAACAGAGCGUUUAGUUGAAUUGAGCAAUGAAGCACGCAC
rnacentral:rRNA from 1 species